rnacentral:sRNA from 1 species
AACUUGAGAAAGAGGAGCUAGAGCGGUUGAAGUCUGAAGUUAACGGUAUGGAGCAUGACCUGAUGCAGAGACGGCUCAGAAGAGUCAGCUGCACCACUGCGAUCCCUACGCCUGAGGAAAUGACAAGAUUGAGAAGCAUGAACAGACAACUCCAGAUAAAUGUUGACUGUACACUGAAAGAAGUUGACCUCCUUCAAUCUAGAGAAGUAUACUACAGCAGAAGCUCUCUUAAACUUUCAUUUACCCAACUCACCAGAUUAGAGAUGGUCUUCAUUUUCUGUGGAAAAUAUACUGACUGAUGUCCACAGCUGCUGCAUACUUUUGACUAGUAGGCUGCAUUCUGGAAACUUUGAUCCAAAAGCCAUGAAUAAUUUUUAUGACAACAUAGAACCUGGCCCAGUUGUA